AACGAACGCUGGCGGCAUGCCUAACACAUGCAAGUCGAACGAGACCUUCGGGUCUAGUGGCGCACGGGUGCGUAACGCGUGGGAAUCUGCCCUUGGGUUCGGAAUAACUCGCCGAGAGGCGUGCUAAUACCGGAUGAUGUCGUAAGACCAAAGAUUUAUCGCCCAGGGAUGAGCCCGCGUAAGAUUAGGUAAUUGGCGAGGUAAAGGCUCACCAAGCCGACGAUCUUUAGCUGGUCUGAGAGGAUGAUCAGCCACACUGGGACUGAGACACGGCCCAG
rnacentral:rRNA from 1 species